GAUGAACGCUGGCGGCGUGCCUAAUACAUGCAAGUCGAGCGAACAGACGAGGAGCUUGCUCCUCUGACGUUAGCGGCGGACGGGUGAGUAACACGUGGAUAACCUACCUAUAAGACUGGGAUAACUUCGGGAAACCGGAGCUAAUACCGGAUAAUAUAUUGAACCGCAUGGUUCAAUAGUGAAAGACGGUUUUGCUGUCACUUAUAGAUGGAUCCGCGCCGCAUUAGCUAGUUGGUAAGGUAACGGCUUACCAAGGCGACGAUGCGUAGCCAACCUGAGAGGGUGAUCGGCCACACUGGAACUGAGACACGGUCCAGACUCCUACGGGAGGCAGCAGUAGGGAAUCUUCCGCAAUGGGCGAAAGCCUGACGGAGCAACGCCGCGUGAGUGAUGAAGGUCUUCGGAUCGUAAAACUCUGUUAUUAGGGAAGAACAAAUGUGUAAGUAACUAUGCACGUCUUGACGGUACCUAAUCAGAAAGCCACGGCUAACUACGUG
rnacentral:rRNA from 1 species